GUCUUGGUGUAGGGUUGUUGGUUAUGGAAGUCUUGUGAAGGAUGAUUGAAAGAGCUGAUAUUCAUGUUAGUAAUGGGACUUUUUAGAAUGGUUCAGGGUAGGCCGAGGUGGUUGUUUCUCAUUCGGUGUAUGCUUACGAUGCUAUUGUUUUUUGUGGCACAGACACAACUCAAUUUGAUUUGAUUAUCUUAGGGGCAUUUUGAUGUGUUUCUGAGGCAGUGGCCGUCUCAAGGUUCAUUUGGGGAAGUCUGAGGUUAUUUCUAUGGGAAAGGUGGAUGGUGUAGAUUCGUUAGAGGCUGUUAAUAUUGUGCAUCGGUAUGAUGGUUUUGGCUUAUGCAACUCUUUCAAAGUACUGUGGCCCAUCUUUUUUGGAAAGAAGAAGUUGAAUUUCAAGUACUAGUAUAUAAGCUUGUGGUGGCAAGUGGGUGGGGGUGGUGUGCAAAUGGGAUAAUUGAAAAAGCUUAUGAUCAUGUUAACUGAGAUUCUUUGUUAUACGUUUUUGGGGAGAAGGGUUUUGGUGGGCAGUGGUUCAACUGGAUAGAUUUUGUAAUUCUGCAAUUAGAUUAUUGGUCUCGGUGCAUGGUUCUUGGUUAUGGAAGCCUUGAGUAGGAUGAUUCCAAUGGUUGUGAAAUGAGGCUUUCUCAAAUGUUUCAGGGUAGGCAGUUCUAUUGAGGCUGAGGUUAUUGUUUCGCAUUUGCUGUAUGGAGAUGAUUCUAUUGUUUUUUUUGGGCACAAACGCAACUCAACUGGGUUAUCUUAGAGGGAUUUUGAUGUGUUGCUGAAGUAGUGUUUGAUCUUAAAAUUAAUGUGGAAAAGUUUAUUCCUAUGGGAGAGGUGGAUGGCAAAUACAUGGGGGGUAUGCGUGCAAAUUGGAUAUUGGAUACAUGGGGGGCUGACGUGGUGAAUACGUGAAAAGGGGUUUUGGGGGGCAGUGGUUCAACUGGAUAGAUUGUAAUUCUGCAAUUAGAUUAUUUGUCUCGGUGCAUGGUUCUUGGUUAUGGAAGCCUUGAGUAGGAUGAUUCCAAUGGCUGUGAAAUGAGGCUUUUUCGAAUGUUUCAGGGUAGGCAGUUCUAUUGAGGCUGAGGUUAUUGUUUCGCAUUUGCUGUAUGGAGACGAUUCUAUUAUUAUUAUUUUUUUUUGGCACAAACGCAACUCAAUUGGGUUAUCUUAGAGGGAUUUUGAUGUGUUGCUGAAGUAGUGUUUGAUCUUAAAGUUAAUGUGGAAAAGACUGAGGUUAUUCCUAUGGGAGAGGUGGAUGGCGAAUACGUAGGGGGCUUGUGUGCACAUUGGAUAUUGAAAAAGCUUAUGAUUAUGAUUAUGUUUUUUUUUUGUCAUUCGUUAAACCUAAUCUACUCUAUCCUAGGGAACUUGGGGAGGCGGAGGGGGAUGGGUGCUUGUGAUUAUUUUAACUUGGCUUUUUUGUUAUAUGUUUUGGAAAGGACGUGAUUUGGUGCGCUUUGGUUUUUGCAUCUCUUGAGUUAGAUUAUUCUCCAUUUUGAUGUCUGCUUUUUCAUCAUCCUUAUGGAAGUUUUGAGUAGGAUGAUUCAAAUGGCUGUGUGAUGGGGCUUUCUGUAGUGUUGUAAGAUAGGCAGUUUUAAUGGGGUUGGGGUUGUUUUUUCUCAUUUGCUGCAUGCAAGCAAUUCUAUUGAUUUUUGUGGUGCGGACAACUCAAUUGGGUUAUCUUUGAGGGAUUUUGGUGUGUUUUGAGGUAGUGUCUGGUCUCAAGGUUAAUAUGUAGGAAAGUCUGAGAUUAUUCCUGUGGGAGAGGUGGCUGGUAUAGAUUUGUUAGCAGUGGUCUUAUGUCUAAGGUCAGUUCUCCCCUUCAUCUUCUUUAACAUUUUGUUGGGUUGAAGUCUAAUGUGGUUUGGGAUUCAAGUUUUCAGAUGCCUCUUAUGGGAUUGAAGAGGCAGUAUGUUGAAAGAGGCAAGGAUGACUCUUAUUUGGAGCACUUUUCUAGCUUCCCUGUGUACUUUAUGUAUCUUUACUAUCCCAAUAUUAGUGCAAAAAGUUAGAAAAUCUGUAGAGUGAUUUCCUUUGGUGGGGCUUGUUCUUCUAGGUGGUUCAUGUGCCAUAUGGGUGGGGCUUUGGAAGGGUAUUACAAAAGGUCGGGGAGAGUUCUCUUAGGUAUACUAGAAUGAAGGUAGGGACCGGGUUAAAAGUGAAAUUUUGGAAGCAUGUUAGGUGUGGUGACGAGAGGUUGAGGGAUGCUCAUCCUUUUAUAUUUCAAUUGGAGGCGGAUGUGACAUCCUUUUACAAGGUCUUGGUUGAGGUAUCGACUUAUGUUUGAUUUGGGCGAGAAUGGUUCGGGGAUAGAGUGGGCUGACAAAGAUGGAAGGUUAGGAUUUUGAUCAUGUUUUGCUUGGUGUGGCUAAUUUGGCGAGAGAGGAAUAGUGAUUUUGAUAAGGGUUGAGAUGCCUAUGUUUAGACUUAGGAAUCUUUUCCUUUCCAGUUUGCAUAGUUGGGAGUUGAGGGAGUGCAAUCCUACCCUCGACCGGUUUCUUGAUAUGAUAAUGUUUUUGGAGUUUAGAGUGAAGUACAGGGGUUUUCUUGUCUUCAAUUUUUGUGUGAGGUGUAUGGCUUUUUUGUCCUUGGCCUUUUGUGCAUAGGUAGCAUCCCCUAUUAGCUGUAAGAUGUCUUUGGGUAGUUACUUUACCAUUUAACCACAGGCAUAGAACUUUCUUUUGGUGCUUAGGGAUUGUUGAACAAGUGCAUGGUUCUAUGACCAGUAUGAGGAACUUGUGAGUUUCAUAUUGAUUGGCAGUCAUAAUGUGACUGAAAUAGAUGGAGAGAUUUGUUUGAGGAAGAAGUAGUACAUAUAUUUGAAGUUUGGCAUCAGGUCCAUGUAUCCGCUGCAUUGUAGACCUGUUGGUUUAGGAACCUAGAUAUCAUGUGGUCUGCAAUGGCGUUGAAUGCAGUUUUUUGGUUGAGUAAGGCAGCUAUGAAUUUUGAUGGAUCCUUAAAAGGAUAUUUUGGAUGGCCAAAUAUAUCCCCAUCGGUUCUUAUAACCUUGAUGCUCUAACUUCCAGAAGGGUUGGUUGACAAAAAUGUUUUCGAAAGCCUCUAUUCUUCAUGCGUUUUUUUUGUGUGUGUGGGGCAACAGCUUACAAGCUUGUUAUUUUUGUGUAUUUCCAGUCACUUAAAAAUACUGAUGAGUUCAAUACAAAAAUAAUCUUUCCAGUACUUAAAAUGUUGUCACAGAAACAUCUUUUUCCACAUCUAUAUGAUUUGCUAUGAACUUUGGCACUGUGAUAUCAAAGUUGUAUGUUCUACUCUAUUUUUUUCCCACCUGGAUUGAGGCCCGUAGGAAUCAGGUUCAGGCUAGCAAUUAACAACGUUUAGAUUCCGUGUGAGUUGUUAACAUACAUCCAAAAGAGGCAAUUCACUACCUCUUUCAAUUUUUGCUUUCUGUUUGGAUGAAUGUUUUCAAAAAAUCCAUGAACAUUUGAAGAUUUUGCAUGCUUUCUUUACCCAAUUGGCUAUUUGUGAAUCAAGCAUUCGUGCAUCAAGCGUGAUAAUCUUAGUUGGUUGAGACUGUGAUCUUAAACUGUGCUUUGAGACUAGUUUGUUCAUGUAGUUCUGGUUACAUUGAUGCCUCAGUGUUUUGAGCGUAACACCCCUUGUUUUUCCACGCGCACACUGACGGUCAUCAUCGAUUUAUGAGUCUACUUUUGUGACCGCGUGAUGGAAUUCCUCGUUUUGAUCCCAACGUGACCAGUGCUUGAUUGACCCACGGGUAGUUUGCCCUCGAAGACCAAUUAGGUGCUUACAACCUGCUAAAUCCUAUGUAAUUGGUCUCCCUUGAUAGACUAGCAGCAAUAUUGCGAUGGAAAGACCUGCCUCUGAGCGAACGUUGCAACAUUCUCAUUGUGGGCGGGAUCGGAUAUGGCUGCCUUCCCAAAGAGUGAAAGCCGUCUAUGCGACAUUAGAAUUACAUCUAGGGAAUAAGUUGCGAAGGAAAAGGCUACCUGUUGGGAAAGAGUGAAGCCUCUGAGGUGAACAUGAUGGAAUGCCAAUAAUGCUCAUGAGUGUUGAAACUGCCAUCUGCAAGACAAUGGAAAAAAAAAAUUAUUGCGAUGCUAAGUAUGGGGUAAAAAAUGUAUUGCGGGGAUUACCUUGGUUUGACUUCUUGUACAAGUCUAAUUGACGAUCAAAUCGAGGAAUGAUGUCUUGGUCACAACCUACGAUUCAUCUAAGUGCUGAAGUCAGUUCACUUCCACAGACAGGGUGUGCACGUGUUCACUAUACUGAAAGUGUCUAUGUGUCCUGGACUUGAUUGAUCACUCUAUAUCAGGCAUGUGAGUGAUAUCAGAAAUCUCAAUCAAUUCUUGAUUUUUAUUGCUACAUUAUAGCGAAUGCUUGGUUAUUCUGAUUGGUUUUUUUUGGCAUGCAAGGUGCUCAAGUUCAUGAUCGUAUAGUAAUUGCUAAAACUGUUUUCAAGCAUGAAUGAGAUUCCAGGCCUAAAAACCUUUUUUUUUCUCAUUCAAGCAGCUAAAAUUCUGGUGCCUUGCUUUUUUCGCAAUCUGGACGUGAAGUAAUUGCUAGACUGAACCCAAAAAUUCAGGCCUCCAGUUUUUUUAUUGGGGUAGGACUUACCAAGUUUAUGUCAUGAGUUCAACGUUGAGCAGCCAUUUUGGCAAGAUAUACUAUACAUCUACUUCACACAGAGUUAAGUCAAAUGACUAUUUUGCACAUCCAAUUAUGGGUUGAACGUAACUUCCCUUUAUUUCCAAAACUGAGUUUACUAACUGGCAUUGGCAUGUAUAAACGGCAAAAUGAUAUUUUGGUAUUUUCAGUUCAAUUCAGGGCUUAUGGGAACAUUUUUUAAGUCAACCCUUCUGGAGGCACUGAUUCCAUUUUUUUGUUGAUAUGUUAUGUAUAAGCUCGGAAAAUUUCAACACAAGUAACAAGUUGGCACUGGAAGCAGGGAUCUCAGAAAUCUGUGAUAUCUCUAUAGAGAAAAAGUCACGUUUGAACAAAGCAUCAUAGGACAGCUGAUAAGGAGAUUUGAGCAUAGGAUUGAGCAACUGAAAUGAGUCUCCGCAUUUGUGGCAAUAGCGUGUUAAAGGAAGAUGUACUUGGUGUUUUAUUGAUAUGAUUAUAUUGGGUCUUUGGGGCUAUAGAGUUGAAACAAUAGAGUAAUCUUGAUCCAAUUAUCUUGGGAUUGUAGUGGCAAUAGAAAAUCAGGGUCAGAAUUUAGAAAUGUCGCUUAGGCUUGUAGGUUGUGGUUCAAAGCCACAAACAAGUUUUUAACUCCGCCUGUGUCAUGCUUAACCACUUGAUUAGUACACAGCCGGUCCCAAGCCCGGAGAAAGGAGGAGGGUUGAUUAGGUAGCUCCUAUCUUGUAAAAACUUGUUUGUCCCACUAGUUCAUGAAUCUGAAGAAUGUACAGAUUAUUUCCUUGUGUUAAAUCAGUUCUCUUUUGUUGGUGAAUUCCAGAACAUAAAAAACUGGAACCUCAUACCCUGAAGUCAACACAUAGCCGACAGAAUCGGCCUCUUUCCAUGGCCAAAUCUGGCUGUUCUGUGCUCAAACGGUUAACUAUCUCGAGGAAUUGUUGUUCUGUCCUUCUACGAAAUUACUAGCUGUUCUCCAGUGGUUAAUCUAAUUAUCAUUUAUAGCUCAGCGUACUGAGAUGGACCCAUUUAGCCAUGCUUGAUCAGUAACCUUUCUCAUGGGCCUUAUCCAGUUUUAAGAGUGGGGUUGUGUAAGCAUGGAUUGUGUACUCACUUCUAGUCUGCUCCUGUUUCCAUCACGUUGUCGUUAUACCGUGUACCAUUAUUUUUCUUUUUUUAUUUUUGCAAUUCUAUCGUAUUUUUUCACCUAGUUAACAGGUUCUGAGUAUUAGCAGGCUGGGUGGAGUUGGUGCAGUGGCCCAACUUGCAGCUGACAUUCCGCUACCAUCAGUUAAGGGUCAGUUCUACUUCAACUGCUAACUUCAAGGGUCUUUAAUUGACUGUAACUAAGUUGUUUUCCGUGAAAUAAUGUUGAUAAAGUUUGUACUCCAUGAAAGACAAAACAAGGUCAUGAAUACCUCACUGUUGACUAACAGUUUGGUGCAUUUCUUUUGGGAUCUACUUUAACUGGUAACUGUUAUGCAAAGGUCCGUAAUUAAGUUGUUUUAUUUGAGGUGAAUGUUUAUCAUGCCAGUACUCUUUGGAAGACAAAUCAAUAUCUCACAGUUGACUAACAACUGUUAUGAUGGGCAGAAAGAGGUGACAAAGUACAAAUACCAUAAAACCAUGAAUUCUAUGUGGUCAGAGGUUUGAUAUUAGGGGUCCUUCAGUUUGUCAAACGCUGAAAAGAUGAAUUCAGAAGAAUCUGUUAAGAGUGCAGAAAAGGAAAGGUGAGUCCCAUCCUUUGUCAUUGGAAAGAUUUUUAUUGACUAAUACAUGACAUGGCAUUCAUCAAGUUACUCCACAGUUUGACUCUCAAGUCUCAAGUCCGUUAUCAAUUCAAUUUCUAUGGAGUGGCAUGUGUGAUUAAAUGGCGACUAGGCCCACUAGGGCAAGCAGUCUCUAAUCGGUAGUUGGUUGUAAGGCAGGCAAAAAAGCGAAGAGAAAUUUUGAGUCCCGUGCUCUAACAAAAAACUGUUUGUCGACAUAUAUGUGUGGUUUACUUGGUUUCUGUUACGCUUGAGUAUGGAUGCCACGUAAUCAUUUUUUGCUCCUGAGUUUGGACUCACAAGUUGCAUGUGCAUAGCCAGUUUUUUUUUUUUUUUUUGCAAUUCACCUUUAAUUUUUCAUCAUUGACAAAUUUCAUGGUGGUUUAUGAAAGCGAAGUAAUUGUUGUUGCCUCGUGACUCCAGUUUUGGUGCUGAAUUCUGCCAAGGUUGCUAAUCCAGAAGUGUUCAACUUGAGAUGCUCAGUGCACAAUGAUCUGCCAAUAGCUCCUUGCUAGAUUUCUUCAGAUUCUUUAAAGGGCCGAUGUAAUGUCCGUCUGUUUCGUUUGUUUGGCAUGUAUUUCUUAAGUUUAAAACUUGGUUGUAUCUUUUGCUUUUAUGCAGUAUGAUGAUCUCUUUUUUCCUGUGAAGAAGAAAAGUAAUGAACUUCGCAGAUAAAAUAACGAUACAAUUAACAGAGACAAUAGAGACAGGACAACAGAAUAAAGCCUAUGAUUU